rnacentral:misc_RNA from 1 species
GGAGGGAUCAUUACAGAGAACAUCGCCCGCGAGGGUGACUCUCCAACCCUAUGUUAAUUAUACCUUUGUUGCUUUGGCGAGCCGCUCCGGCCACCGGCUUCUCGCUGGUGAGUGCUCGCCAGAGGACCCUAAACUCUGUUUAUACAUGUCGUCUGAGUACUAUAUAAUAGUUAAAACUUUCAACAACGGAUCUCUUGGUUCUGGCAUCGAUGAAGAACGCAGCGAAAUGCGAUAAGUAAUGUGAAUUGCAGAAUUCAGUGAAUCAUCGAAUCUUUGAACGCACAUUGCGCCCUGUGGUAUUCCGCAGGGCAUGCCUGUUCGAGCGUCAGUACAACACUCAAGCCUAGCUUGGUCUUGGGCCUCGCCGGAGACGGCGGGCCUUAAAAUCAGUGGCGGCGCCUCUCGGGCCCUAAGCGUAGUAAUACUCCUCGCUACAGGGACCCGGUGGACGCUGGCCAGCAACCCCCAACUUUCUAAGUUUGACCUCGGAUCAGGUAGGGAUACCCGCUGAACUUAAGCAUAUCAAUAAGCGGAGGAAAAGAAACCAACAGGGAUUACCUCAGUAACGGCGAGUGAAGCGGUAACAGCUCAAAUUUGAAAUCUGGUCCUUUCAGGGCCCGAGUUGUAAUUUGUAGAAGAUGCUUCGAGCGUGGCACCGGUCUAAGUUCCUUGGAACAGGACGUCAUAGAGGGUGAGAAUCCCGUAUGCGACUGGCCGCCUUUGUUCAUGUGAAGCUCUUUCGACGAGUCGAGUUGUUUGGGAAUGCAGCUCAAAAUGGGUGGUAUAUUUCAUCUAAAGCUAAAUAUUGGCCAGAGACCGAUAGCGCACAAGUAGAGUGAUCGAAAGAUGAAAAGCACUUUGGAAAGAGAGUUAAACAGUACGUGAAAUUGUUGAAAGGGAAGCGCUUGCAACCAGACUUGCACGCUGCCGAUCAUCUGGGGUUCUCCCCAGUGCACUCGGUAACGUUCAGGCCAGCAUCGGUUUGGGUGGUUGGAUAAAGGCCUUGGGAACGUAGCUCCUCUCGGGGAGUGUUAUAGCCCUCGGUGCAAUGCAGCCUACCCGGACCGAGGACCGCGCUUCGGCUAGGAUGCUGGCGUAAUGGUUGUAAGCGACCCGUCUUGAAACACGGACCAAGGAGUCUAACAUCUAUGCGAGUGUUUGGGUGUCAAACCCAUACGCGUAAUUAACGUGAACGGAGGUAAGAACCCUUAAGGGUGCAUUAUCGACCGAUCCUGAUGUCUUCGGAUGGAUUUGAGUAAGAGCAUAGCUGUUGGGACCCGAAAGAUGGUGAACUAUGCCUGAAUAGGGUGAAGCCAGAGGAAACUCUGGUGGAGGCUCGCAGCGGUUCUGACGUGCAAAUCGAUCGUCAAAUUUGGGUAUAGGGGCGAAAGACUAAUCGAACCAUUAACUACUAGGUGGUUAAUAGGGGCCCGAGAGGGUCACCUAGUCCUGGUCAGGGGCAACAUCAUCAAAUUGCGGGGACCUCCUGUUAAAUUCUCAGCUACCGCAGCGCCUGCGAAAGGGGCGUGCGCACCGGGUUAGUGACCCCGGGGAUGGUAACAACGCUGAGAUGGGGACGAUCCGCAGCCAAGUCCUAAGGGCAGUCAUGCCUAUGGAUGCAGUUCACAGACUAAAUGUUGAUGGGCAGCGCCGCUGCUUAAGGUAUAGUCGUCCCACCGGGAGACCGGUGUGUCGGGAGGAUCGCUCAGGGUGACCACUGCACUGCAGUCCCUGAGCGGGAGAGCCUGACGCUGGGCGCUGUUUACAGCGUCCAGGGCCUGGAGCUAGUAGCUGGUUCCUGC